rnacentral:misc_RNA from 1 species
GUAGGAGCCGGCUUGCUGGCGAUGAACGAUCACGCGGAUUAUCUGGUUAACCGCGGGGGUCUGGAUCGCCAGCAAGCCGGCUCCUAC